CGGUCCUGCCACCCCAAAAAAAUUCGCUCGCUAACGUUGAGGUGGUUGCUACGUAAAAGGUUCACGCAAAAUGAUUGUUCUGAUUCGCAUUGAACACCUUAUGUAAAGCAGGACAUGAGUAAUAGUUUGUUUCAUUUUUACAACGUGUUUUCGCGGUAUCAAACAAGAACGGUGGUAAUAAUCGAUAAACGUGAUACGGAGUAUCAUAAUAUUCCUGAUGUCGAUUACCGUAUUUUUGCGCAUCGCAAUCAUUUUUUAAACUGGUAUUCCAAUCAAAAAUCAUCUAACACAAUGUUCGACGGAUUGAGUAAAAAUCCCCAAUGACGCAAGCUUAACGUAAGCAUUUGGUCUCGAAUACAACAGAUGGCGCCAUUGCUAAUUCAUGAAUGGCAAUAUCCUGAAUGGCUGAAAUGUCAUUCAAGAAAUAACCUAUCACGAGGAGAAACGGUUUCAGACGCUUGCCUGCAUCGAUUUGCAACCCUUUGCCUUGAGCACACAGCACGGAUUAAUGCCCUGUAAACGGAUAAAGAGAAGAUGCCCGAAGUGUAAGUGGUUCUGU